GGGUUAGCAGGUUGGUCGUGCCACUGGUAUGCACUGGCCUUGCUGAUUCCUCCCUCUUGAUGAGCCGUAAUGCCAUUAAUUUGGUGUUGUGGGGAAUCAGGACUGUUACUUUGAAAAAAUUAGAGUGUUUAAAGCAGGCCUACGCUUGAAUACAUUAGCAUGGAAUAAUGAAAUAGGACG
rnacentral:rRNA from 1 species